GAGCUUCUGGAGGUGAGGUCCACUAAGAAUGCUACCAUGUUCAACAAAUUGAAACAGAUGUGUGCUGCACCUCAGCCUCCUCCUUCUUCAGGUUCUGCUCCUGAUCCCCCCAUUGAGAAACAAGAGCCUUCUGAGAAGAUAGCCAAAGAAGAGGAACAGCCAAAGAAACAGGAUGAAAA